CUGAAUCAUGGGGGCGGGUUUUUCGUAUGCUCUUCUCGUGAUAGUAAGUCUCACGAGUUCGUUAUAAAAGGCAGUUCCCCUGCACAUGCUCUCUUGCCUGCUGUCAUGCAACGUGUCUUUGCUCCUCCUUCACCUUCCGCCAUGAUUGUGAGGCUUCCCCAGCCAUGUGGAAACAUAUUCGCAGAGCACCCACUAGGUGCCAGUAAAUGUAUGAGAAGUCCUGUGGAAUAAGACUGAAGUUGUCCUUGCCUUCAAGCAACUUGCAAUUGCCUAAGAACACAGUUUAAAACCACAAAACUAAGCCUUGGAAAUCACAUGCUGUCAUUUCUGCGAUCGGUCAUAACCAGUCCUGAUUCCAUGUUAGAGGAGACUACAUAAGGACACAGGUACCAGAAGAUGAAAAAUUUGGAGUCUAGUGAAAAGAAGUGACUUGCUCAAAAUCACACAGCACAUGAAGAACAGAGCCUCUAUGAUGAAUUUCUUGACAGAUCAAGAACUACUUUGGACUUUAUGUCUUAUUACUCAAGGAAGACAUUUCCUAAGCUACAGAGGCCAUAGAUAGUGAUUCCUCUGAUGGAUCUUGGCAAAGUAAGUGGAAAACUUUCUGGAAAGAAUUCACAACUCUAGAUGUCAUUAAGAACAUUUGGGAUUCCUGGGAGGGGAUCAAAAUAUCAUUAACGGGAAUUUGGAAGAAGUUGACUCCAACCCUCAUGGAUGAAAUCGAGGGAUUCAAGACUUCAGUGGAGGAAGUAACUGCAGACAUGGUGGAAAUAGUGAGAGAACUAGAAUUAGAAGUGAAGCCUGAAUAUGUAACUGAAUUGCUGCAAUCUUACGAUGAAAUUUUAAGAGAUAACGAGUUGUUUCUUAUGAAUGAGCAAAGAAAAUGGUUUUUUGAGAUGGAAUCUACUGCUGGUGAAGAUGCUCUAAACAUUGGUGAAAUGACUAUUUAGAAUAUUACAUAAACUUAGUUGAUAACAUGGUGGCAGGGAUUGAGAAGAUUGACUCCAAUUUAGGGAGAGAAUUACUACUGCAGGUAAAAUGCUGUCGGACAGCGUUGCAUGCUACAGAGAAAUCUUUCAUCAGAGGAAAAAUCAAUUGAUGGAGAAAACAUUAUUGUCAUCUUAUUUUAAGAAAUUACCACAGCCACCCCAACCUUCAGCAACCAUCUCUGAUGAGUCAGCAGCCAUCAACAUCAAGGCAAGACCCUCCACCAGCAAAAUGAUUACAACUUGCUAAAUGCUCAGAUUAUUAUUAGCAUAUUUUAGCAAUAAAAUAUUUUUAUUUUUAAGUUUGUUUGAAGGCUUAGUGUAGAAACAACUUCUGUUACAUCGAAGAUCAAAACAUCAGGUUUUGGAACAUUUGCGUGCUCAUUAGAGUUAGUGUCAAAUGUAUCUCCCUGGCUCACACUUACCUGCCAUUGAAGGGAAAACAUCUUAUCGACUAUUUAUGGAAGACCCCGGGGCUUCCUCUUGAGAGAUCUUGAACAUGUAAUUUUCACCACUGCAUGGCAACUGCCACAUUUCCUCCACCUCUGCCUCUGCUCCCAAACAACCCUUUACUAGUCACUGGUAUUAACACUGCUGUGGAUUUUACCCUCCAAAGUCAUGAUUCUUAAAUUGGCUCCCUUCAUUUUAUUUCUAGCUAGUGCCUUGCUACCCUCAUAGCACACUACCGGAAAGGGGAGAAGCAUUUUUUUAGUUUAUUAUUUGUAUUUAUUAUUAUUUUUUUUACCCAGAGUCUCCAUCUGUUGCCCAGGCUGGUUGCAAACUUCUGUGCUCAAGUGAUCUUUCUCUUCGGCCUCCCAAAGUGUUGGGAUUAUAGGCGUGAGUCACUAACCAGGCCAAGAAGCCAGUUUUUACUGACGCAUUUCCUGUUAUGUCAUUUUUGUUAGGGUUAUCCCAAGGCCGCUUAUUUUGCCUUCCAAAAAUUACAGGAGUCUGUGUCUGUGUUGCAUAUACGUGUAUGUGAGUGUUACACCUGUGUGUGCAACAGAGAGACAGAGAGAAUCUUUCAACUUUAAUUUUAUAGGCUAA
rnacentral:lncRNA from 1 species